rnacentral:sRNA from 1 species
UUUUAGCCCCGGGCGCAGCGGCAUCCCCGAAGCGCAGCGAGGGAUAUAGCGAAGCACGGGAACAGAC